rnacentral:rRNA from 1 species
UUGGAGGGCAAGUCUGGUGCCAGCAGCCGCGGUAAUUCCAGCUCCAAUAGCGUAUAUUAAAGUUGUUGUGGUUAAAAAGCUCGUAGUAGAAGCUCGGGCUCCGGCCGACCGGUCCGCCUCACCGCGUGCACUGGUUCGGCCGGGCCUUCACCUUCUGCGGAACCGCAUCUCCUUCACUGGGGGUGUCGGGGAAACAGGACGUUUACUGUGAAAAAAUUAGAGUGCUCCAGGCAGGCCUAUGCUCGAAUAGAUUAGCAUGGAAUAAUGGAAUAGGACGUGUGGUCUUAUUUCGUUGGUUUCUAGGACCGCCGUAAUGAUUAAUAGGGACAGUCGGGGGCAUCAGUAUUCAAUCGUCAGAGGUGAAAUUCUUGGAUCGAUUGAAGACUAACUACUGCGAAAGCAUUUGCCAAGGAUGUUUUCAUUUAUCAGGAACGAAAGUUAGGGGAUCGAAGACGAUCAGAUACCGUCGUAGUCUUAACCAUAAACUAUGCCGACUAGGGAUCGGACGGUGUUAUUUCUUGACCCGUUCGGCGCCUUACGGGAAAC